GUGGCAGUAGCUCAGUGGUAGAGACCCCGCUUCAUACUCGGGAAGACCUGGGUUCGAUUCCCGGCUGCUUACC
rfam:Toxocara canis scaffold64, whole genome shotgun sequence.